CCACCAUACUUGACUUAGUUUUUACUAUUUCAUAUUUCCUUUCUACUUCUCUAAGAGCUCAGUAUGCAGAAGAGACGCACAAGAGUGGGAGUGACAAAGAAUGUGGAAAGCUGAGAUGUCUCUGAGCGGCUGCUUCUCCGAGCCAUGAAGACCUGCAGAGUGGGAAUCGUAUUUGCCUGGGCCCUUGGUGGAAAAAGUCUUCCUUCCAUUUUUAACAUCCACCCCGGAGGUGAUGGACUGCUAAAACAGGAACAGUACACUACUCUUUGUGUAGGGUUCCCUUACAACCUGAGGACUGAAAGCACCUUCAGACCAUAACGUUAAGUGAGAUAAUUCAGACAUGCAAGCUUAUAUAUAAAUAAAGAGCAAAAUAAAAGCUGGGUAGUUGGAAGUAGGAAGAUAGAUCUUUCUCUGGUGGAAAGGGGACCUAGGGACGGAGAAAGGAGGGGAGGGAGAAGGGAGCGAGGGGUGAAACAAGAACUGAGGCGCGUUGUGUGGGGAGUGCAGACGUUAUGUACUGCAAACACUGACUAAUAAGACAGAAAAACUAAGGAAAAAACAAAACAAAAGAAGCUGGUUUACUGCAAGCCACUUCCAGGGGGAAAACAGACUUUCAUGUUAACUAAACAUUUCAAAAGUUUGGAAUUUAUGGAGAAAACAAAAUGAAAAAUGUGUAUGACCUUAACAUUCUUUAAAUGUAAGAUUCACCCUCUGUCCUGUUACAAGCACAGCUUCACAAUAAACCAAGAAUACAUGAGCUAUUUGUCCAGAGACGGUUCCAGCUUUAGCGACACAGCUAUAUAGCACAGGUUUCGCUUCUGACCGCUUUUGCUUCUCGGCUGAUUUUACAGUGAGAUCACGAAAACAAUAUUAUUUGUAAAACUAUCCCCUAGCUCGAUCCACCCCUGGCCCCAGGGCCUUUCUUAACCCUUGGAUGUUCUGAUCACUCCUUUGCAGCAUCUAUCUUGAAUCACUGUUCUCAGCGGCCCCCUCCCCUGGCUGGGGCACCUACCCUGCGCGGCCUCACCUCUAACACCUGGAGGUCCCGCCUGGUGGGCAGCUCCGCCUAUUUUGUGAGACCGCAGUUGGCCUUGGGCGUUCUUGCAUGGGACGCUCGCUCGGAGUCUCCGACAGCCAGGGGGCCGAGGAAUGACUAUGACAUUGACCUGCUGCAGGUGACAGGGGAUGAACAGAGCAGUCUUAAACUACAGGAGAAUUCCUUUAUCUGCAUAGGCCGUGUGCUUUUGGGGUGAAUUGUAACAACCUGUGUUAAUUAGAUGGGUAUAUUUGUACUGUGAAAAAUGCCCAGCAUAUGCUACAUGAAAAAGAUACAUUGGAAGCCGGGAUCCAGAAUAAAAUAUUUUGUUUAAAAAUUCUAUUUCGCAUAGCUUUUCAAGGGUAGAUAAAUUCACA
rnacentral:lncRNA from 1 species